CCUGUCUUUGAAGUACAGCAGUCUGUCGCCUGUUUGGAUAGCCUCUUUAAAAGUUGGGGCUCCCGUCCUACUUUGAAAGAUGAAGUGACUCCAUGUUCUCUGGCUAGAGUGUCCCAGCUCACUAAAGGCAGUGAUACCUGCAGGUGUGGGACUUUCCAAGUCAGCGCCUGCAGAUCCCAUAUUCCAGGUCGAAGCCGACAAGAAAAGCCCAGAGCUGUGCACUCACCUGGGUGAAGCCAUAAAGAGAGCAAAGAUACAGUCUAGCAUUCACAGCAGCCACUCACAAGUGUCACUCAUCUUGCAAAACCCAAAGAGGAUAUAAUUACAGUCCCUGCUUUAAGAAUUUUACUCCCUGGUAGUGAGUCUGUGAUAUCAACAUCAUUACCCAGGCAAUGAAGGUCAUAAUGGAUUUUUUUUUCCUGAAAGAUGAAAAAAACACAGGGGACACAGGUUCGAUCCUUGGUCUGUGAAGAUCCCACAUGCCGCAGAGCAACUAAGCCCAUGCGCCACAACUACUGAGCCUGCACACCUCAGAGCCCAUGCUCCGCAACAAGAGAAGCCACCGCAAUGAGAAGCCUGUGCACCACAACGAAGAGUAGCCCCCGCUCGCCACAACUAGAGAAAGCCCGCGUGCAGCAACGAAGACCCAACACAGCCAAAAAUAAAUAAAAUAAA